GGCCAGUGAGGUGAUGUGUUAGGUGAAUCCAAUGCUGAUGUAAAUCCUGAAACUACACUGAGACCUU